rfam:Triticum aestivum genome assembly, contig: Triticum_aestivum_CS42_TGACv1_scaffold_129980_2BL
GAAGUACUCCCUCCGUUCCGAAUUAGUUGACUCAAAUUUGUGUAGAUACGGAUAUAUCUAGACACAUGUUAGUGUUAUAUACAUCCGUAUCUAGGUAAAUCCAAGUCAACUAAUUUGGAACAGAGGGAGUAGCUU